rnacentral:rRNA from 1 species
GACGAACGCUGGCGGCGUGCUUAACACAUGCAAGUCGAACGGAAAGGCCCUGCUUUUGUGGGGUGCUCGAGUGGCGAACGGGUGAGUAACACGUGAGUAACCUGCCCUUGACUUUGGGAUAACUUCAGGAAACUGGGGCUAAUACCGGAUAGGAGCUCCUGCUGCAUGGUGGGGGUUGGAAAGUUUCGGCGGUUGGGGAUGGACUCGCGGCUUAUCAGCUUGUUGGUGGGGUAGUGGCUUACCAAGGCUUUGACGGGUAGCCGGCCUGAGAGGGUGACCGGCCACAUUGGGACUGAGAUACGGCCCAGACUCCUACGGGAGGCAGCAGGGGGGAAUAUUGCACAAUGGGCGGAAGCCUGAUGCAGCAACGCCGCGUGCGGGAUGACGGCCUUCGGGUUGUAAACCGCUUUCGCCUGUGACGAAGCGGGAGUGACGGUAAUGGGUAGAGAAGCACCGGCUAACUACGUG